CCCACCUCUGUCUGAGGCUGGGCAUAACAGUCUUAUGUACAAAGUUAGUCUGCCUCUUACUACUGGUCUUCCAGCCCCCAACACCAGUGUGGUCUUCAGUCUUAGUUCAUCAUAAUGAAGUUGGAUUUGCAGUGAGCUGAAACGCAGAAGCAAGCAAGUCAGGAAACACUCACCAGCCUGAUUUAUACUUCCGUGUCGAAUCUAUGCAGAGGCUACGGCAUAGCCUGACACGCACCUCCCCAGAAAUCAGCACAGAGGUCUAUUGAGGCGGCUCACCGAUGAACUCUGCCACGGGGUCGUGCUCUCCCUCGGCUCGGAUGGUGCCUGCGAUGCUGUCGUUCUCCAGGAUGGGCAGGAAUAGCUGCACAAAGUCCGAGCAGAGGCUGUGCACGGUCUCAGUGGCCUUGGACGUGGACUUGAGCUCGUCCUUGUUGAUGUUCAUGCGCUUGUUCUGGGAGCCAAACAGAGAGGAGGGGAGAGGAGAGAGGGAGACAGGAAGACCUGAACAGCCCAUAACCAGAGAUCUGCAUCCAGCCACUUCAGAACUCAAGUGCCUUGUGUAAGUCACCUAUUAGCUAUUGUCCACUCCACACACCUGAUUUCCAAGACUCAAGUAGGCCACUGAAGACCACCUGCGGACACUGCAGCCCUCCCGGACUACAGUUUAAGGGGUCUGGUAUAAUUACCCAGUCAAGGGCCAGCACAAGAAUGGUAGGACUAUUGGCAAUUGUGCUAAAUUGAGCUCAAUAAAAAAAAACAAUCAGA